AUGACUGGAAGGGGCGGCACCACGACGGUUAAGGUGGUUUAUACCCAGCCGGGGAGGACGACCCCCUGCAAUGGGCACGGAAAGAUGUUGCAGCAGCGAACGAGGAGGCGGAGAUGCGCAAAGCAGAGUAGGAAAAACGUGCUCUGGUCCUCCUCCAAGCCCGCCGGCGACUGCCUAACAUGGAUGUUGAGGAAGAUGGUGAAUGGGCAGCUCCAACCAUAUGCAAAAGGAACAAUUUCAAAUCCUAAGUGCAAGGACCAUGUACGCAAAAGUGUCAGUGCCAUACUUCUGUACAUAAAACGAUGGAACCGGCAUCAAUCACUUGAACGGGCAUGUUGA
rnacentral:rRNA from 1 species